rnacentral:misc_RNA from 1 species
AAAAAAAAAGUAUGAAAGAAUUUUUUUCGGAUUUGAAAAAGCUCAAACCAUCUGAACUUGUGGUAAUAAUGAAAUUUGAAUUGGGCUUAAAAAUGGUGUUUUCGCAAGAGAACAUCGGCUCAAACAACUUUUAUAAACACUUUUAAUUUGACUGAUAUCAAGUAAAAAAAAAGUUUUUAAA